rnacentral:rRNA from 1 species
UACGGAGGGUGCAAGCGUUAUCCGGAUUUACUGGGUUUAAAGGGUGCGUAGGCGGGUUAUUAAGUCAGUGGUGAAAGCCUUCAGCUCAACUGAAGAAUUGCCAUUGAUACUGAUGAUCUUGAGUACGAUUGAGGUAGGCGGAAUGUGUCAUGUAGCGGUGAAAUGCUUAGAUAUGACACAGAACACCGAUUGCGAAGGCAGCUUACUAAGUCGUAACUGACGCUGAUGCACGAAAGCGUGGGGAGCAAACAGG